AUUUUGACUAUACAAAGGUAUUGAAAUAAGAUUUUAAUUGAAUGCUAAGAGAAUGGAAUUUCAGAAAAAAGCUUUCUUUAAAUUAAAAAUUGAAUUUUUCUUAAUUUGUGCAGAGACAAUUAUUAAUAUUAAGGACAAGAAGACCCUAUGAAUUUUAAUGGGAGAUUACUAUUAAUAUAAAUUUUGGCUGGGGCGGCAAGAAAAUAUCAAAAACUUUUCAGAUAAUAAAAUGAUCCAUUAGUAAUGAUUACAUGUUAAAUACUCUAGGGAUAACAGCGUUAUAUUUUUUGAUAGAUCAUAUUGACAAAAAAGUUUGCGACCUCGAUGUUGGAUUAGGAUACUUUUUUAAUGCAGAUAUUAAAAAAAGAAGUUUGUUCAAC
rnacentral:rRNA from 1 species